rnacentral:rRNA from 1 species
UACGUAGGUCGCAAGCGUUGUCCGGAUUUACUGGGCGUAAAGAGCUCGUAGGCGGUUCGGUAAGUCGGAUGUGAAAUCUCCACGCUCAACGUGGAGGGGCCAUUCGAUACUGCCGUGACUCGAGUCCGGUAGGGGAGUGUGGAAUUCCCGGUGUAGCGGUGAAAUGCGCAGAGAUCGGGAGGAACACCCGUAGCGAAGGCGGCACUCUGGGCCGGUACUGACGCUGAGGAGCGAAAGCGUGGGGAGCGAACAGG